AAAUUGAAGAGUUUGAUCAUGGCUCAGAUUGAACGCUGGCGGCAGGCCUAACACAUGCAAGUCGAGCGGAAACGAGUUAUCUGAACCUUCGGGGGACGAUAACGGCGUCGAGCGGCGGACGGGUGAGUAAUGCCUAGGAAAUUGCCCUGAUGUGGGGGAUAACCAUUGGAAACGAUGGCUAAUACCGCAUGAUGCCUACGGGCCAAAGAGGGGGACCUUCGGGCCUCUCGCGUCAGGAUAUGCCUAGGUGGGAUUAGCUAGUUGGUGAGGUAAGGGCUCACCAAGGCGACGAUCCCUAGCUGGUCUGAGAGGAUGAUCAGCCACACUGGAACUGAGACACGGUCCAGACUCCUACGGGAGGCAGCAGUGGGGAAUAUUGCACAAUGGGCGCAAGCCUGAUGCAGCCAUGCCGCGUGUAUGAAGAAGGCCUUCGGGUUGUAAAGUACUUUCAGUCGUGAGGAAGGCGUUGUCGUUAAUAGCGGCAUUGUUUGACGUUAGCGACAGAAGAAGCACCGGCUAACUCCGUGCCAGCAGCCGCGGUAAUACGGAGGGUGCGAGCGUUAAUCGGAAUUACUGGGCGUAAAGCGCAUGCAGGUGGUUUGUUAAGUCAGAUGUGAAAGCCCGGGGCUCAACCUCGGAAUAGCAUUUGAAACUGGCAGACUAGAGUACUGUAGAGGGGGGUAGAAUUUCAGGUGUAGCGGUGAAAUGCGUAGAGAUCUGAAGGAAUACCGGUGGCGAAGGCGGCCCCCUGGACAGAUACUGACACUCAGAUGCGAAAGCGUGGGGAGCAAACAGGAUUAGAUACCCUGGUAGUCCACGCCGUAAACGAUGUCUACUUGGAGGUUGUGGCCUUGAGCCGUGGCUUUCGGAGCUAACGCGUUAAGUAGACCGCCUGGGGAGUACGGUCGCAAGAUUAAAACUCAAAUGAAUUGACGGGGGCCCGCACAAGCGGUGGAGCAUGUGGUUUAAUUCGAUGCAACGCGAAGAACCUUACCUACUCUUGACAUCCAGAGAACUUUCCAGAGAUGGAUUGGUGCCUUCGGGAACUCUGAGACAGGUGCUGCAUGGCUGUCGUCAGCUCGUGUUGUGAAAUGUUGGGUUAAGUCCCGCAACGAGCGCAACCCUUAUCCUUGUUUGCCAGCGAGUAAUGUCGGGAACUCCAGGGAGACUGCCGGUGAUAAACCGGAGGAAGGUGGGGACGACGUCAAGUCAUCAUGGCCCUUACGAGUAGGGCUACACACGUGCUACAAUGGCGCAUACAGAGGGCGGCCAACUUGCGAAAGUGAGCGAAUCCCAAAAAGUGCGUCGUAGUCCGGAUUGGAGUCUGCAACUCGACUCCAUGAAGUCGGAAUCGCUAGUAAUCGUGGAUCAGAAUGCCACGGUGAAUACGUUCCCGGGCCUUGUACACACCGCCCGUCACACCAUGGGAGUGGGCUGCAAAAGAAGUAGGUAGUUUAACCUUCGGGGGGACGCUUACCACUUUGUGGUUCAUGACUGGGGUGAAGUCGUAACAAGGUAGCGCUAGGGGAACCUGGCGCUGGAUCACCUCCUUAAACGAUGAU
rnacentral:rRNA from 1 species